CCUGGCGGUUAUAGUAACGGGGACACACCUGAUUCCAUUCCGAACUCAGAAGUUAAGCCCGAUUACGUCGAUGAUACUGCUAAUUGUGGGAAAGUAGAUUGCUGCCAGGA
rnacentral:rRNA from 1 species